CCCGCCUGCCCGCCGCGAGCCUCGCGCUGUCCCCCGCGCCGCGCCCCGCGGCCCGACCCUGCCGCGGACGCUUGGCACCGUGAGCGCCCUGGUCGCCGCCUCCAGGCCCGCAGACGACGCCCCGGACGGCCCAGCAGAAUGCGGAGCGCACCGAGCCCCGGCCAGGAAGAACCACAAGAAGAUGCCAGUGCCGCCUGGGGCCCCGCAAGGUGGCGGGGACUGAGGGCGACCGCACAAGGGCAGCCUAGGCGAGGUCUCAGUGAGGAGGCAGGGUCUCCACGCACUGGAAUAGUGUCAAACCACACACAAGGGCACAGAACCCAGGGACCCAGGGCGGCUGAGACACGCAGCUGGUGAUGGCCCUCAGGAUGGUGUCAACCAGUAUGUAAUCACUUUCCACAGGGCACCAACUGGACAGAGGCCUCCGGUCAGCCUCACUCUGACUGCAACCCCCUCUCACUAGACAGCAUCACCUGGACACAGAGCCUCACCUAGUCUGUGUCCCAUGGACACAACUUUGCUUUGGACAGUGACACCAAGAAUACUCACCCCUUUACUUAGCCAGACCACAGGCAGCCACCUGGACACAAACAUCUCUCCAGAGUCACCCUCCACAUAGACUCCACAGCAGAACUCCCAGGGAGGCACUGGGGCAUGGCUUCAGAGCACCAGGCAGCCCUCCGCGGUGCCCAGCACCCGCUCAGCCAGGGCAGCCUGCAGCGGAGCCUGGAGCCCGCAGCUUCUCAUCUCUUGGCCUCGGGAAAUGUAGCGGGAGUCAUCAUUUAGCAGAGCACGGUGUCCCUGGGUUGGCCACCCAGCUUAGUUUUAAAAUAAAAUAAUCUUGGCCUAAUG
rnacentral:lncRNA from 1 species